GUUUUUCUAAGUAAAAGAAAAGCUGAAUACAAGAUCUCAUAAAAUGGAUGAAGUACUUCGCCUGGUUACCAAGUCUCAUUUUGAUACUUGUUGAUUUGAAAACUGGUAGUGAGAGGUCAUUAUCAAAAAGCUGUGUCUUCAGAAACUAGCACCUAAAAAUCUGAAUGGAAAUUACGCUACAAGAAAUUCUGACAUCAAACUAGUCAGCUAAACUUCAUUCUUUUGUUCUGACAUUAUAGAACUUGUGAGCUCCAUGUACAUUGCAGCACAUUAAUAUUAAAAUAUUUUAUACAUA